GAAAGGUGUAAACUGACUGACAGUGAUGUCAUUUCCUCUUGGCAAGAGUGCAUUUGCAGGGUAAAGAGGCUGCCUCUCACACCUCGUAGAGUUUGUCCCCUGAGAGGUGGAAGGGUACAGUGCUUAUAGAUGUGAAGUUCUUUGAGCUUCUUAGAUGUCGUUACCUUUCUGUUUGAACUAUUCUGACAAAAAUGUCUUCCUGGCUAUGAAAAUGCUACUUCCUGCAAGGGAAUGCUGGUUCCAUUGCCAGGUUGGCUGCCUCUGGUGCUUUGCCCACGGAAGGGAACUCCAAGCCAGUUUGAGCACUACCCUAAGACCUCGGUUAGAAAUGCUUUGAGUUUUCUCUGUGCAGAUGUCUGCUCUAGCAGCCUAGGUCUACUUGGGCUUACCAUGCACUGUAACAUCAGAUGCUUUGAGAUGUCAGCUACAGGAGGCUAAUUUUAGAGUGUCUUACUGGAAGAUGAUGUUUCAAGACUUAGGAAACAUUGGUAGGUGUUGGUUGGGCCCUAUGGGAUUUCCCUUACCUGCUUUGCUUUGUCCAUUGAACAUUCAUUGGUGGCAGGGUAUUGGUAGUGGGAUGGGGGAAUGUUGGUGACAAAGAUGAAGAAUUUGGUAAAACUGCAUAGUGAUUUUUUUACACUUAAAAGCAAAUCACCCAACACAGGUGUGGUAGUGUAUGUCCAUAAUAUAAUCUCCUGAUAGGAGGAACAGGAGGCGCUCAAGGCUAGCCUGGGCUAAGUGAGACCCAAUCUCAAUCUCUCUUUCUCUCUCUCUCUCUGUUUCACACACACACACACACACACACACACACACACACACACACACACACAGACACAGAGCAAAUUACCCAUAAAGGUUUUUUUUUCCUUCCUUUUUUACAUUCUGGAAUUUUCCAGAAAGACAAAUGUCAGUGGAAUUUUUUUUUUAGUUAUAAAAAUUUAUUUAAAAACUUUAUGGUUACCAUUUAAACUUUGUGUCCAGAGCUUUGUGAACCUGAGAAAGUGGUUAUGUUCUUAGUUAUUGGUAUUUGAGAUCGCCAAGAUUCUUGUAAAUGAGAUACUAAAGUUUUUCCAUUCAUUCAUUCAUUCAUUCAUUCAUUCAUUCAUUCAUUCAUUCAGUGUGGUGUGGUGUGUGUGUGUGUGUGUGUGUGUGUGUGUGUGUGUAGAGGUCAGAGCAUACCUUAGGGGGUGAAUGACAAAAGAAUAUAAAGGAAAGGCACAUGAAGUAGAAACUUAAGGGUUCUUUGGAAAGUUGGUUGGAUAAUAUUUUGCUGGGGCAAACAUGUAAAGGAACGUUUAGUUGAAGCAGUUGCAGGUGAAAGAUGUUCUGCUAAAGCAAGCGUGUGAAAGGAGAUGUGAUGAGGGAUUCUUUGCUAUUAACGUGCAUGUGUUGGUCCACCUUACAUUCUGUGGUUGGACUGCAUUUGUCGGGACUCCAUAGAGAGAAAUGCACCAAAAAACUUCUGAUGGUGUGUUGCGGCUUCUUGCUGCUUCUGCGGACUCAGGCCGAUUGACAGAGUGAUAUCAGCUGAGACAGUUGCACAUACUGAGGAAAGACAGAUGCUGAGGCAAGGCACGUGGACGACACAUGAUGUUUGGAGGGUAGAAACAGGACUCCACAGAAUGAGUGAGACAGAGCUUGGCUUGCUGGUACAGCUAGCUGUGCAACACUUGUGGGUCUCUGAUCUUCGCUUCCCUGACAGGGGCACAGCUGAGAACUCCUGGUGUCCCUGUUGGUCCCCCCCCCCUCACUGACUCAAGCCUGGGGUGAGGCCUGGCUCUCUCUGCUAGGUCUUGUCACUGCUGUUGCUAGCCUAACUCUGCUGAACUGGACUGCUAGUGUGGCUGUGAAGUGUUUGCCAGUAGAUUGAGCUGCCGCCGCUAACCUCUGAAUUGAAUUGCCAAUUUCCAGGCAACACAGACAGGAGUUGCUUCAAAGAACUUUUCUAAACAGGUCCACCGCCACCCCUCAAUCCUUUCUUUCCCACUACCUCGGGUGGUGGGUGAUGGGUACAAGGGAGGUUAAAACAUUUAAAAAACAUCAUUAAAAUUAGGUUUUAAAAAAAUUACAGUUACAGGUACAUGACUGUACCUGGAUUUCAGCACCAGAGGGAGGGAGGGAGGAAGGGAGGAAGGAAAAGAAAAG
rnacentral:lncRNA from 1 species